rnacentral:rRNA from 3 species
UCCGUAAGUGAACCUGCGGAGGGAUCAUUA